rnacentral:rRNA from 1 species
CUGAUUAGAAGCUUGCUUCUAUGACGUUAGCGGCGGACGGGUGAGUAACACGUGGGCAACCUGCCUGUAAGACUGGGAUAACUUCGGGAAACCGAAGCUAAUACCGGAUAGGAUCUUCUCCUUCAUGGGAGAUGAUUGAAAGAUGGUUUCGGCUAUCACUUACAGAUGGGCCCGCGGUGCAUUAGCUAGUUGGUGAGGUAACGGCUCACCAAGGCCACGAUGCAUAGCCGACCUGAGAGGGUGAUCGGCCACACUGGGACUGAGACACGGCCCAGACUCCUACGGGAGGCAGCAGUAGGGAAUCUUCCGCAAUGGACGAAAGUCUGACGGAGCAACGCCGCGUGAGUGAUGAAGGCUUUCGGGUCGUAAAACUCUGUUGUUAGGGAAGAACAAGUACAAGAGUAACUGCUUGUACCUUGACGGUACCUAACCAGAAAGCCACGGCUAACUACGUGCCAGCAGCCGCGGUAAUACGUAGGUGGCAAGCGUUAUCCGGAAUUAUUGGGCGUAAAGCGCGCGCAGGCGGUUUCUUAAGUCUGAUGUGAAAGCCCACGGCUCAACCGUGGAGGGUCAUUGGAAACUGGGGAACUUGAGUGCAGAAGAGAAAAGCGGAAUUCCACGUGUAGCGGUGAAAUGCGUAGAGAUGUGGAGGAACACCAGUGGCGAAGGCGGCUUUUUGGUCUGUAACUGACGCUGAGGCGCGAAAGCGUGGGGAGCA